rnacentral:rRNA from 1 species
GGUUAAGUGACUAAGCGUACACGGUGGAUGCCUUGGCAGUCAGAGGCGAUGAAAGACGUAGUAACUUGCGAUAAGCCCAGAUUAGGUAGUAACAACCAUUUGAGUCUGGGAUUUCUGAAUGGGGAAACCCACGUGCAUAAGCACGUAUCCUUACCUGAAUACAUAGGGUAAGGAGGCGAACCGGGGGAACUGAAACAUCUAAGUACCCCGAGGAAAAGAAAUCAACCGAGAUUCCGAAAGUAGCGGCGAGCGAAAUUGGACUAGCCCUUAAGCUUUACACGCGUUAGACGAACGGUCUGGAAAGUCCGACGAUACAGGGUGAUAGUCCCGUAGUUGACGACGUGUGUUCAGUGAAAUCGAGUAGGGCGGGACACGUGAUAUCCUGUCUGAAUAUGGGGGGACCAUCCUCCAAGGCUAAAUACUACUGACUGACCGAUAGUGAACCAGUACCGUGAGGGAAAGGCGAAAAGAACCCCUGUGAGGGGAGUGAAAUAGAACCUGAAACCGUGUACGUACAAGCAGUAGGAGCAGGCUUUGUCCUGUGACUGCGUACCUUUUGUAUAAUGGGUCAGCGACUUAUAUUCAGUGGCAAGGUUAACCAUCUAGGGGAGCCGUAGGGAAACCGAGUCUUAACUGGGCGUUCAGUCUCUGGAUAUAGACCCGAAACCAGGUGAUCUAGCCAUGGGCAGGUUGAAGGUUGAGUAACAUCAACUGGAGGACCGAACCGACUAAUGUUGAAAAAUUAGCGGAUGACUUGUGGCUAGGGGUGAAAGGCCAAUCAAACCUGGAGAUAGCUGGUUCUCCCCGAAAGCUAUUUAGGUAGCGCCUCGGACGAAUACUACUGGGGGUAGAGCACUGUUAAGGCUAGGGGGUCAUCCCGACUUACCAACCCUUUGCAAACUCCGAAUACCAGUAAGUACUAUCCGGGAGACACACGGCGGGUGCUAACGUCCGUCGUGGAGAGGGAAACAACCCAGACCGCCAGCUAAGGUCCCAAAUUACUACUAAGUGGGAAACGAUGUGGGAAGGCUCAGACAGCCAGGAUGUUGGCUUAGAAGCAGCCAUCAUUUAAAGAAAGCGUAAUAGCUCACUGGUCGAGUCGGCCUGCGCGGAAGAUGUAACGGGGCUAAGUAGUAAACCGAAGCUGCGGCAAUGUGCUUUUGCACAUUGGGUAGGGGAGCGUUCUGUAAGCGGUUGAAGGUGUGUGGUAACGCAUGCUGGACGUAUCAGAAGUGCGAAUGCUGACAUGAGUAACGAUAAAGGGGGUGAAAAACCUCCUCGCCGGAAGACCAAGGGUUCCUGUCCAACGUUAAUCGGGGCAGGGUAAGUCGACCCCUAAGGCGAGGCCGAAAGGCGUAGUCGAUGGGAAACGGGUUAAUAUUCCCGUACUUCUUACAAUUGCGAUGGGGGGACGGAGAAGGCUAGGUGGGCCUGGCGACGGUUGUCCAGGUUCAAGUGCGUAGGCUUAAGAGUUAGGUAAAUCCGGCUCUUUUUAAGGCUGAGACACGACGUCGAGCUACUACGGU